GACGAACGCUGGCGGCGUGCUUAACACAUGCAAGUCGAACGGUAAGGCUUUGUUUUUGUGCGGUCCUCGAGUGGCGAACAGGGGAGAAACACGUGUGUAACAUGUCCCUUACUUUGGGGGAAAUUCUUGAGACUCGGGUGCUUAUCCGAUAUGAACACUUUCAGCACGGUGGUUGUUUGUAAGAUUUGGCGGUUGGGGAUGGACUGGCGGCUUAGCAGCGUGUUGGUGGGGUGGUGGCUUACCACGGCGUUGACGAGUGGCCGGCCUGCGAGGGUGACCGGCCACAUUGGGACUGAGAUGCGGCCCGGACGCCUACGGGAGGAAGCAGUGGAGAAUAGUGCACAAUGGGCGGCAGCAGGAUGCAGCAACGCCGCGUGCGGGAUGACGGCCUUCGGGUUGUAACCCGCUUUCGCCUGUAACGCAGCGUGAGUGACGGUAAUGGGUAAAAAAGCACCGGCUAACUACGUG
rnacentral:rRNA from 1 species